GUUGAGUUAAUUAUUCACACAUCUGUCUUUCUGGAGAACAGUCUAGGGAAUUGUUUAACCAGUCCAAAUGAGAAAAGUGACAUUGACCGGAGAAUUUCUAAAGAAGUAUAUGAAACGGGGAUCCUUCACAUGUGAGGUGGAUGCCCCAGGGUCAUUGAUCUUAUCAGAAGUAAAGUCAAUGGAUCCAAAGGUUAUGAAGAACCAUUGAACCUAAGAGGAAAGACGAGACAAGGAACAUCAGGGAAACUGACUUUCAGGCACCCUGUUGCCAGAACGGAGACCAGAUGCUUCUCUUGAUUUGGUUGGUAAGAGUCCACUAUUAGGGG
rnacentral:lncRNA from 1 species